UACGUAGGGGGCAAGCGUUGUCCGGAAUUAUUGGGCGUAAAGAGCGCGUAGGCGGUCCGGUAAGUCGGCUGUGAAAGUCAAGGGCUCAACCCUUGAAAGCCGGCCGAUACUGUCGGACUAGAGUCCGGAAGAGGCGAGUGGAAUUCCCGGUGUAGCGGUGAAAUGCGCAGAGUAUCAGGAAGAACACCCGUGGCGAAGGCGGUUCUCUGGGACGGUACUGGACGCUGAGACGCGAAAGCGUGGGGAGCGAACAGG
rnacentral:rRNA from 1 species